rnacentral:rRNA from 1 species
GGCUCAGAUUGAACGCUGGCGGCAGGCCUAACACAUGCAAGUCGAACGGUAACAGGAAGAAGCUUGCUUCUUUGCUGACGAGUGGCGGACGGGUGAGUAAUGUCUGGGAACUGCCUGAUGGAGGGGGAUAACUACUGGGAACGGUAGCUAAUACCGCAUAACGUCGCAAGACCAAAGAGGGGGACCUUCGGGCCUCUUGCCAUCGGAUGUGCCCAGAUGGGAUUAGCUAGUAGGUGGGGUAACGGCUCACCUAGGCGACGAUCCCUAGCUGGUCUGAGAGGAUGACCAGCCACACUGGAACUGAGACACGGUCCAGACUCCUACGGGAGGCAGCAGUGGGGAAUAUUGCACAAUGGGCGCAAGCCUGAUGCAGCCAUGCCGCGUGUAUGAAGAAGGCCUUCGGGUUGUAAAGUACUUUCAGCGGGGAGGAAGGGAGUAAAGUUAAUACCUUUGCCCAUUGACGUUACCCGCAGAAGAAGCACCGGCUAACUCCGUG